UCCGGUGACAUAUAUUAUACACAAUUUAUUCACAUCAUCCCGAACGUUAUCAUAUUGGCGUUAUCAAGGUCUAAUGCCAUAUCUGAUAACAAUCAUUCAUAAUUUAUCAUAAAACAAUCAGAUUUAAUUUUUAUGUGACAUUGUAUCCUCACUGCCAAACUGAUGCACUUGUUCUGGAUUUUCCCAGUCCUGGAAAUUUAGAUUUAACCGAUUCAAGAAAAUAAAAGACUAUAUUUUUAUAUAAUUUACCUCUCGAAGCAUUUUACUAAGCAGCAACUUGGAGAAAGAAACCUUGUUUCUUCCUCCUGGCUCCUUCCUCACUACCUCUCCCGGUUGAUCUGAUUAUUUUUCCCUUCACGUUUUGUCCCAAUAGCAAAUUACCAAUUCUAUGAAUUGCAAAGCAGCCUCAGAGACGCUGAGGGGUAGAGAGAGGGGGGGGGGAUGCGAAGAUUGAAAGGGAUCUUUGCAAACACAAUCACGUUCUUAAAUGGAAAUGCGGGGCUUUAAACAAAUCUUACAUCUCUCCCGUUCCAUUCGCCUAAAACUGUGCAAUCAGGCACAUGUUCCACUCCUUCUAAAACAGGAGCGUUUGGAAGGGUUUUCAGGCGCAACAGUCCCAUUUUAAUCAUUUACCUGAAAGCAAUGUUUUGCCUUUUUAUCUCUGCCGCGUGUUUGUUUGUUGUCAUCUUCCCAAUGCGACUAUUUUCUUUCUAUUUACAGGACGACUCAACUCUAGUGUUCAUUUUAAUCCGGGACUACAUGACUAAAAGAUUCUGCAAGGCUGAACAAUGAAGGCCACGACCCAAACAGGACACAGCAGGAGUGAGUCGACGUGUCUCACGUGUGUGUGUGUGUGCAAACAUGUUGCUUAGUAUGGAAAGUCUGUUGUUCAUGACUCUCUUUAUUUUAGAGAUGAGUAUGAACAAGCAUGACUUUGUGUGUGUGUGUGUGUGUGAGUGACUGAAACACUUACUCACUUACAGUAUGUAGACAAUAUGUUGUCAUUGUUGCAACUCCAUUUUUGGUGAAAUCCCACUUUCGUGGUUGUCAGAUUUUAUAUGAGAGAUUACAUGGCCCAAAAAUGCAUGUUCAUUUAGCAAAUAAGUCCUGUUUUAUUGAUAUGUUGACAAUCUGAAGUUUUCACCUGACAAAGCCACACUGUGCUACGCGGUUUUUAAGACUUUUUAAAAUUUGAGCCAUUUUCAUCAAUCUAAAUAGAUAUCUGCUUCAGUUUUUUAAAGUAUCAUUUUGAGCAUUUUCAUGCCUUUUAUUAAAGAAUUGAUGGUAGCGAGAUGUCAGGAAACAAGGGGAAAGAGAUGGGAGAUGAUAUGCAACAAAAGGCCCCAAUCAUUGCAGUUCGUGGUUGGCACCUUAAACUCUUAAGUCACAGGGGUGUUGAGUUCUGUUUUGUUUUAAUACAGUUUUUGUUGUUGCAGAAUUAAACUGUGAAUAAAGUUAACUUUAUUUGGUGAAGAACAUCUUCUUUGCACUUGGCUAAUUCAGGGUAGUUGUUUUGUUCCACAGGUAAGCCCUCUCAGGCCCUGACUUUCCUUUGGGGCAGCUGCUUAGUUUUAUCCCACUUAAUCGCUCUCUUGGCCAUGACACAACACAGCUACUCUCUCUCAUACACGCACACUUCAGACACACACACUCCAGAGAACUUCCACACUAAGGCCCCACCGCAAAGUUAUUAAUGAGCUGUUUAAUUUUAAUUAGAUAGUAAUUCAUGUUAAUGCCUGCUUAAUGGAGCCAAAUAAUUCCCCUCGGUCACUCUGGGUCUUUAUGCUUCGUUUACCAGCCCCUGCAGUUAUUCUCUGGCUUUUGUUUUUAUAUUACAUUUAUAAGUCAUUUUUUUCAAGCAGUGAGUGAAUGAUGAAACAGUAAAACAGGAAACAUAUGGGGUGAGUGAAGUGUGCAAGUGUGUGUGUGUGUGUGUGUGUGUGUGUUAGUAAAAGAGUGUCUGUGUAUCUGUGAGAGUGAAAGCUAGUAUUCACGUUUGUAUCCGUGUUCUUAUUAUUUAAAUUUCAUUUCUAUUUAAGUGCUUGUUUAAUCAACUGUGUUUUUGUCCAUGAAUGAAUGAAAAUUUAAAUACUAGGCCACACACACACACUGACUCUCUUAAUGCACAGGCCACUACAGUAAAUGCAUUUAGUCAGACCAAAGAAAAGGUCAAACUCCGUAUUGAACGCUAAGCAGGGUUAAACCCUCAGGUUGAAGUGCAGGUACUAAGACAUUUGCAGGAGAGAGGUUGUGACCUUUUUGGCCAGGCCUCAAGGUAAAUUGCUGCUGCCUCGUGUCACGUGUGCAUCCACUGCUCUGCUGCUUACCUAGGGGAGGAUUUGUUCGAGACACCCCCCUUGAGGUUCAAACAUCGGUAAGGCUGUGUAGGAGUGACCACACCAUCUCGGACCACAGUGUGUGUGUAUGUAAGGAGGAGCGGAGGGGUCAAUGCUGUUGAGUCUGUCUCGGUUCUGUCUGGGUGCCUCUGCUCUAACGGAGCACUAAGCUGAGUGGCUGAAUUGAGUUAGUGGCUACAGACAGGCUUUUAAUUGUUGAUUGACCAGUCUGAGUGCUUCCUGGGCUGGGGUCAUUGCAGAGAGCUGGCUGGGAGGUCCCCAGGCCCCAGCGGCAAUUUCAGCCACACACACCUAAGCUCCGCGGAGGGGCGGAAAGAAAUGGAGAGGAGGAUGGUGCAAAGGUACUUAGGACAUGGCGAGGGGGAUGGAUAAGAGCUGAGAGACUUCACAAAGUUAGAAAAUUUGUUGUGCUUUAUUCUUUUUUUCUACAUGAAGUUUGAUCUCAGGAUUUACAGGGGCCGUGCGAUUCAAGCAAACAAACACAUAUUGGCGACAGCGUUACAGACGCUGUGAGCAGAGGGGCUUUGAGGUCCACAGAUUAGCAAGUUCAAUGUUUACUCCUCCACAGAAUCUCAGGUCCUUCAUCUGACAAUUACAAAUUUACUUUGUACCCGUUCCAUUCACUUCUUUGCCCCUGCACUCCCUCCCUAUUUAUCCUCUCUUUUCUCUUCCCCUCUCAGCCCUCUUUCCUCUAAUUCUGCACGGGGCCACAAAAGCCCAUUCUGCUGUUUUAGCGGGUUAGCUCUUCUCUCCUCCCCUCUUCUCCUCCUCCUCCUCUCGGCUCACAGCAGGUGCCCGUCCUCGGCUAACAUUUGUUAUCUCUAAUCCUGCAGGUUCGGCGCACAAAAAGAGCGUAGUAAACUCUCUCUCAGACCUAAUCCCGCCACUCUUUUUUUGAUGGCGCUCCCCUCGCCCUCCUCUCCUCAUUCUCCCUUCACUAUCUCUCUUUUAGGCUGCUGGGGGGGGGAGACACUCUACUUCUCUGAUUGCCACAUAGCUUUUUAUCACCAUGGCCUUCAAUUUGGGGGCAGCUGUUGGAGGUGGGGGUAUCCCCCCCUCCGUUCUUUAUACCUUCAAUUCCAACUCUCUUUUUCCUUUCUCUCUCCCUCUGUCUCCUUUUUUUGCCCCCUUCUCCCUCUCUCUCUGUAUCAUUUACAGUCAUUUUCUGGCAAUUAAAAUGGAGCGCUGCUGCAGGAUUUUCGCCUGCAGUGCAACACUACAGUGCUGAUGAAUAAUUCUUCACCCUGCAAACUGGAAAGCUAGCCUUUCUUUCAUGUCGGCCCUUUGUUGAUUUACCAUUAAAACUUACUGCACCGUGCUAUGAGUGGAGGGCCCAGCUCUGCGGGAACUAACAAAAAGCAAAAAUGAGGAUGAAGCAGAUAUGUGUACAUAUGCUUUAGGGUCAUUUUUUUCAGCCUAGGAUGAGGAAGUCUCUGAGUUACGCACGUGAGUCAUAUAUAUUUGUGUUUAUGGUUUAGAUUUAUGGUGCAAGAGCCUUUUUAUUUAUGUCCACUGUCUCGUUCUGUACUACUUAGGUUUUAUGUUAAUUUUUCUUAUCAACAGUUUUCAUUAUGGGGCUUAGCUGUAUUGUGUGAGUUAUUAGACCGUCAUUCAUCUCUGUUUCUCUUUCUCACACACAAUGACACAGUCACACACAGCGAGCAGUGACUGAUGUGUGGAUGGAGUGUGUGGGGUGCUCAGGCUGCAGAGGUGGGGUGGUGUUGGCAGUAUGUUAAAUGAUGUGGGUCUCCAGGCCAGCCCAGCUCUGCACUGUUUUCUGUUAGCAACAUCCUGGAGCAGACUAUUUUCUGCUUUGAGAUUAAGUGUAUUGUCCCAGUAGCGGAAAAUAAAACCUUACAUUUGCCAUAUGUGCCAAGUGUCACAAUAAUAAAUAAAAAGAAAAUUGGUUGACAAAUUGGUCACAGUAUUGUAGUAUUAGUAUCAGUAUGUUACUUGGAGUACUACUGUUCUAAGUAGUACUCACAUUUUCUUUGGAGACUCUUCUCACUGGAAAACCAGCAUCAUUGGUUAUUUGUUUAAACGGUUUAAGAUGUUUGGGGGGGGGGGUCCCUAUUUUGUAAUUUUUGCAGACAGGACAGUUGACAUUUACGAAAUUGCAAGUGGUCACUUGUCAGGAAAAUGUAAAAUUGGGUCGUUUAAGCCAAACUGUAUUUGAGUUCUUAAAUAGCUGUGGGAAGUCUGUAAGAGGAAAUUAGGGUUUGACACCAGGGUUUAUGUCCCAUCCUUUACCAAUAGUCAAUGUUUCUUUUAACAAAGCAUUAGCAUGAUCUGUCACUAACCUUAACCAAGUCAUUUUAUUUGUCUAAACUUGCUGCUGCAGUGUCUUCAUCUUACCACUGGGGGUGCCAGAUCAGUAAAAUACUCAUAUUAGUCUGUGUUUUUUUUUCUUGUUUGUUACUACUUGGGGCAGGCAAUAUCACUAAAUUUGAUUCUGAUCCAAUACUGAGUAAUACCAAGCCCAGAAUCACCAAUAUUGACACCAAUACUGAUUAUAAGCGGCUAAUGUGCUAUAAUAUAGGGGAGAACCAUGUGUCAUGAUUUAUGAAGUGAAAGCAUCAUUAAUGGGCUACUUAUAAAUACAUUUCACAUUCACAUUUACUACUGAGUGAUCUGCCAAUUAGGCAUUUCUUCUUACUAUUCUCUAUUAAUUACUUAAUCCCAUGCAUGCUAAAACAAAUGCAGUUUUAAUAGUAAUCAAUAUGGUAAUUUAUUGUGUGAAUUCUCUGAACUAACAAGGUGAUUGCUGUGUGCAUGCACACAACAGGCAGAGAAGCAUAGCGUGCAGCACUAACUGAAAAACAUGAUCUAACCUGAGACAGAUCAACUUUUUUUGGUAACGAUCCUAUGAACGCUAGUCUUGAAACUAGUAACAAGACUUAGUAGUGUUAUCGAUACAUUUUAGGUAUCGAUCCGCCUGCCUCUACUUACUAUCUGCAACCUGCAGUGUGCUGUUUUUAGCUGGUUAGCUCUUCUCUCCUCCCAUAGCAGCAGGUUAAAUUAAUUUUACAAGAGACGAGUGUAGCCGGAGAGAAGUUUGUCCACUUUAAUAAUUAUAAUGAAUGAACCAGUCGUCCAAGAGAGAAACAGGGAGAAGUUUAAGGAGCUUUAACCCUGGCUGGAGGGGUUGAAUUAGGGCCUGAGAAAAAGCAUCUUCCCGCCAUGUCAUCUGGCUCAGUAGUUAUCUCCCAGUCAGUUAUAUGGGCUUCAGCAUAUUGAACAGCAAAUAUGAACACACGCUCACUUGGAUCCACUGACAGGCACACACAUGAGCAAGCAAACACUCACAUACACAAACAUGCACACACGUACACACAGUAAGUAAACAAACAAACACUAUUUUUCACACUGUCACACUCGCAUGGACACAGUCAUGCGCUGAAGAGAUAAUGGUGGCCAGAGGCAGUCUUGGUGCUCCCUCUCUCUCUCUCUCUCUCUCUCUCUCUCUCUCUCUCUCUCUCCCUCAAUGUCUCUGAGGCAGAAAGUGUGCUCCGGUCCUCACUGUCUGUUAGAUUUGAUCACCAUCACCCAGCUGCAACGGACAGCGCACAGCUCAGCUGAUGGCUCAUUGGCACACACAUGCACACACACACACACAGCUGCUGUGCCAGAGGAUAUUACAUGCAGUGUCUGACACCUCUAAAUAACUGUUUACUGUGUGUGUGUGUGUGUGUGUGUGUGUGCUUGCCUUUGCAUCUUAUUUGUCUGUAUGGUUGCCUCUCCAUCCAUAACCGUGUGUGUAUAACUGCUCUGCAUUUGAAUUGUGCUCAUCAUAUGUAUAAGCACGUGAAGUAUAAUUUUAGUGUGUAAUGAUUAAGCAAAAUAAUGUAAAUAAAAAAUGUGAAUGAAA